GGUAUCGGGGCGAGGGCUUUGGGUCACCUCCCACCCGUGUUUAUUUUACCUUGUUGCUUCGGCGGGCCCGCCUUUACUGGCCGCCGGGGGGCUCACGCCCCCGGGCCCGCGCCCGCCGAAGACACCCCCGAACUCUGUCUGAAGAUUGAAGUCUGAGUGAAAAUAUAAAUUAUUUAAAACUUUCAACAACGGAUCUCUUGGUUCCGGCAUCGAUGAAGAACGCAGCGAAAUGCGAUACGUAAUGUGAAUUGCAAAUUCAGUGAAUCAUCGAGUCUUUGAACGCACAUUGCGCCCCCUGGUAUUCCGGGGGGCAUGCCUGUCCGAGCGUCAUUGCUGCCCUCAAGCCCGGCUUGUGUGUUGGGCCCCGUCCUCCGAUUCCGGGGGACGGGCCCGAAAGGCAGCGGCGGCACCGCGUCCGGUCCUCGAGCGUAUGGGGCUUUGUCACCCGCUCUGUAGGCCCGGCCGGCGCUUGCCGAUCAACCCAAAUUUUUAUCCAGGUUGACCUCGGAUCAGGUAGGGAUACCCGCUGAACUUAAGCUA
rnacentral:rRNA from 1 species